GACGGAGGGCGCUAGCGUUGUUCGGAAUCACUGGGCGUAAAGGGCGCGCAGGCGGCCUCGUCAGUCGGGCGCGAAAGCCCGGGGCUCAACCCCGGAACGGCGCCCGGGACGGCGGGGCUGGAGGCCGGGAGAGGGCGGUGGAAUACCCAGUGUAGAGGUGAAAUUCGUAGAUAUUCGGAGGAACACCAGUGGCGAAGGCGGCUCACUGGCUCGACACUGACGCUGAGGUGCGAAAGCGUGGGGAGCAAACAGG
rnacentral:rRNA from 1 species